AGGGUUUGAUCAUGGCUCAGGAUGAACGCUAGCGGCAGGCUUCAUACAUGCAAGUCGAGGGGCAGCAUAAAUUACUUGUAAUUUGAUGGCGACCGGCGAACGGGUGCGUAACGCGUAUGCAACUUACCUUUUACUAGAGAAUAGCCAAGAGAAAUUUUGAUUAAUGCUCUAUACACUUAUUAAUUCACAUGAAUCUAUAAGAAAAGCUCCGGCGGUAAAAGAUGGGCAUGCGUCCUAUUAGCUUGUAGGUGAGGUAAUGGCUCACCUAAGCUCCGAUAGGUAGGGGUCCUGAGAGGGAGAUCCCCCACACUGGUACUGAGACACGGACCAGACUUCUACGGAAGGCAGCAGUAAGGAAUAUUGGACAAUGGAGGCAACUCUGAUCCAGCCAUGCCGCGUGAAGGAAGACGGCCUUAUGGGUUGUAAACUUCUUUUAUACAGGAAGAAACCUUUCCACGUGUGGAAAGCUGACGGUACUGUAAGAAUAAGGAUCGGCUAACUCCGUGCCAGCAGCCGCGGUAAUACGGAGGAUCCAAGCGUUAUCCGGAAUUAUUGGGUUUAAAGGGUCCGCAGGCUGUUUGUUAAGUCAGAGGUGAAAUCCUACCGCUCAACGGUAGAACUGCCUUUGAUACUGGCAAACUUGAGUUAUUGUGAAGUAGUUAGAAUGUGUAGUGUAGCGGUGAAAUGCAUAGAUAUUACACAGAAUACCGAUUGCGAAAGCAGAUUACUAACAAUAUACUGACGCUGAGGGACGAAAGCGUGGGUAGCGAACAGGAUUAGAUACCCUGGUAGUCCACGCCGUAAACGAUGGUCACUAGCUGUUUGAUGUACAUUGGUACAUUGAGUGGCUAAGCGAAAGUGAUAAGUGACCCACCUGGGGAGUACGCUCGCAAGAGUGAAACUCAAAGGAAUUGACGGGGGCCCGCACAAGCGGUGGAGCAUGUGGUUUAAUUCGAUGAUACGCGAGGAACCUUACCAGGACUUAAAUGUAAGUUGCAUGAUUCAGAAAUGGAUCUUUCUUCGGACUACUUACAAGGUGCUGCAUGGUUGUCGUCAGCUCGUGCCGUGAGGUGUCAGGUUAAGUCCUAUAACGAGCGCAACCCCUAUUGUUAGUUGCCAUCAAGUAAAGUUGGGAACUCUAGCGAAACUGCCGGUGCAAACCGUGAGGAAGGUGGGGAUGACGUCAAAUCAUCACGGCCCUUACGUUCUGGGCUACACACGUGCUACAAUGGCCGGUACAGAAAGCAGCCACUAUGCGAAUAGGAGCUAAUCUUCAAAGCCGGUCUCAGUUCGGAUCGCAGUCUGCAACUCGACUGCGUGAAGCUGGAAUCGCUAGUAAUCGGAUAUCAGCCAUGAUCCGGUGAAUACGUUCCCGGGCCUUGUACACACCGCCCGUCAAGCCAUGGAAGCUGGGGGUACCUAAAGUCGGUGACCGAAAGGAGCCGCCUAGGGUAAAACUAGUAACUGGGGCUAAGUCGUAACAAGGUAACCGUA
rnacentral:rRNA from 1 species